rnacentral:snRNA from 1 species
GUGCUCGCUUCAGCAGCAUAUAUACUAAAAUUGGAACGAUACAGAGAAGAUUAGCAUGGCCCCUGUGCAAGGAUGACAUGCAAAUUUGUGAAGCGUUCCAUAUUUUU